rnacentral:rRNA from 1 species
GAGUUUGAUCCUGGCUCAGAACGAACGCUGGCGGCAGGCUUAACACAUGCAAGUCGAACGCGUGUAGCAAUACACGAGUGGCGCACGGGUGAGUAACGCGUGGAUAUCUGCCUUUUGGUUCGGAAUAACCCCGGGAAACUGGGGCUAAUACCGGAUGGUUCCUUCGGGAUAAAGAUUUAUCGCCAAAAGAUGAGUCCGCGUACGAUUAGCUAGUUGGUGAGGUAAUGGCUCACCAAGGCGACGAUCGUUAGCUGGUCUGAGAGGACGAUCAGCCACACUGGGACUGAGACACGGCCCAGACUCCUACGGGAGGCAGCAGUGGGGAAUAUUGGACAAUGGGGGCAACCCUGAUCCAGCCAUGCCGCGUGAGUGAUGAAGGCCUUCGGGUUGUAAAGCUCUUUUGGCGGGGACGAUGAUGACGGUACCCGCAGAAUAAGCCCCGGCUAACUUCGUGCCAGCAGCCGCGGUAAGACGAAGGGGGCUAGCGUUGUUCGGAAUUACUGGGCGUAAAGCGAGUGUAGGCGGUUUGUCNAUAGUCAGGUGUGAAAGCCUUGAGCUCAACUCAAGAAAUGCACUUGAUACUGGGCGACUAG